GAUGAACGCUGGCGGCGUGCUUAACACAUGCAAGUCGAACGGAAAGGCCCAAGCUUGCUUGGGUACUCGAGUGGCGAACGGGUGGGUAACACGUGGGUGAUCUGCCCUGCACUUCGGGAUAAGCCUGGGAAGCUGGGUCUAAUACCGGAUAGGACGAUGGUUUGGAUGCCAUUGUGGAAAGUUUUUUCGGUGUGGGAUGAGCUCGCGGCCUAUCAGCUUGUUGGUGGGGUAAUGGCCUACCAAGGCGUCGACGGGUAGCCGGCCUGAGAGGGUGUACGGCCACAUUGGGACUGAGAUACGGCCCAGACUCCGACGGGAGGCAGCAGUGGGGAAUAUUGCACAAUGGGCGCAAGCCUGAUGCAGCGACGCCGCGUGGGGGAUGACGGCCUUCGGGUUGUAAACUCCUUUCGCUAGGGACGAAGCGUUUUUGUGACGGUACCUGGAGAAGAAGCACCGGCUAACUACGUG
rnacentral:rRNA from 1 species